UGUAUGAAACCCUAACUCCUUCCGAAUCCCCUCCAGCGCCGCCACCCCCUCCCCUUGCCCCGGGUCUGGGACUCUCCCACGAGGCCACGACCCCCUCCCCUCCUCCUCGUCGAGCCUCGAUCUGGCCAGAUCCAUCCAAUCCACACACGGAUCUGGCCUAACCAUCCCGCGGCUGCGGCGGCAGGUUACCAGGACGGCGGUGGGAACAGACCUCGACGGCGGCGGGUACCUAGAAUCGCUGUUGCACCAACCGCGCGCGUCACAAUGGAGGGCGGGGCUUGACGGAUCACCGCCUCGCCGAUGUGGUCGCUGCCGCCUCUGCCGGAGCAGCGAACGCUGUGCUUGUCGCUGGACCAGCGGGUGCUGGGUGAGCCGCGUCGCUUGACUGGGUCAACUCCAAUGGCCCCGGCGUCGGCGGCGAUGAGGCGCCGGACGAUCGGCCCGUGUACGCGGCCAAGACGACCACGCCGCUCGCAGCCCCGUCUGGGCCAUCCUCACUACCGUCUUAGAGUUCAGCAUCGGAACUAAAACCUGCUGCUCUGAAGGUGCCAGCGUCGGUGAGGGAAUUUAUCAAUGUGGAAUGCUCAUCACCACAUAGGGAAGAUCUGAACCAAGUGAAUGGAAGGAUUUUUUGGCAAUGUCUAGCUCAAUCUCACCUUCGAGAAAAUGUAAUAUUUUUCCUCCGGAGUUAGUCUACACUAUCCAGGUUGUAUGCUACUACUGAGAUCCCAUCAAGGAUGAUCUGAAGCACUCAAAGAAGCGAAGGGCAGAAGAAGCUUCGUUUCUCAUUGAUGUUAUGUGUGAUCAACUAAAAUUUGCCCAUCUCGUCCAAUCUUUGUAGAACUAUGUUGUUGUGCGCCUGUGCACUUGUUGGGUCUUUUUGCUGUGCACUUGCACUUGUAGCAUUAUUUUGCUGUGCACUUGUGCACUUGUUGGACUUUGGACCUUGCUGUGUAGAAGAGUUAAUGGAUGAUGUAUUGUAUUUCAUGUGAUGUGUUACUGAAAUGAAAUACACAAUUUAUUUGCAAUAUCGUAUUCUGUUGUACUUGUUUUCA